GGGUGGGGGGCUUAAAGAGGCCCGACGCGGCCCCUAUGAGCGAGCCCCCUGCCGCGGGGUCAACA
rnacentral:snoRNA from 24 species